GUGGUGCUACAUGGCCGGCGCCGGGCCCUCCGUUGGAAGUCUGCGGGGGGUUGCCUUUCAGGAGCAUUACAUACUGAAGGGAAGAGUGGAGGAUCCCUAGGAUUGAAAGGUGACAUGGACAGCUCACUGGAAAAUACAGCUAUUUCUUUAUCCAAAUGUUCUUUAGAAUCAGAAUUUACUGAAAGUGGAAAAGACAACAGCAUCAGAUCUUCUAGUGAUUUCCUCCAAAGUUUCAAAGUCUGGGAUUGGUUUGAUGAUGAACAAGAUUCAUGUUGUGAUUCAAGUGGUCUAGAAAAAGAAGAAAAGACCAUUAAUUGGUCUGAAACUAAUGCAGUUCAAAAUACAGCUACAUAUGUG